UCUACCAACUCUUUUGUACUCUUCAAGCAUAGUACAGUGCUGUGCAUAUAGGUGCUCAAGAAAUACCAUUUAUUGAAUGUUAGGUGCUUAAAAGGUACAGAUCCAAGUUUAUAGUGACAAACACAUGCAUGAUUGCAAACACACUCUCUCUGUCUCUCUCUCUGCCUCUCUUGCUUCAGAACUCCAAAGAUUUAAGGUCUAGAUUGACAUCAACAGUAAAGGUUCCGUGACACACAAUAGCCCAGAAGUUGGAAUCCACAGAAUUCUACCCCCAAGCAAGAACCAGGAGGAAGUUUGGCAGCAGGAGUGUUACAGUUGAGCUCCAUCCCGGUUGCUCCUGCAAUGCCCCCUCCUCAGCUCCUCCCAGGUUAGCCCCAAGAACUAGGGUCACAGCUUUGAAGCAAGCAUAAGUUUUAUUUCUGCUCUCUCUCACUUUGGGUGCGUUCCAAAAGGAGCCUCUCAACCGCAUCUGUAACAGGACACCUCAGUUCACGUCGGACCAUUCACAGCAGCAGAAGGGCAGGAUCGGCUGUAGAAAAGAUUUACAUUCUUUUUGGGAAGAGUCCAUUGCCUUUUUAUUUCCUAAAUGGCCAUUUUGUAUUUCACCCGUUGUUGAAUCAAAAGCAGAUAUCUCAAGAGGUGCUGGACCCUGAGAGUGAAGUUUAGUGCAUCACGUAAAGUCUGUGAACAAAGUUUUUCCUCCAGUAUGC
rnacentral:lncRNA from 1 species